GAGUCCCCCAGUUGUAAACCUGGGGCCCCGGAUACAUGACCCCAGCCGUAAACCUUAAGCCCCGGAUGUGACUAUACCUAGUCACCCUGGGCCGUAAACCCAGCCAUAAACCCUGGGCCCCGGAUGUAAGUCCCCCAGCCAUAAACCUAGGGCCCCAGUUUAAUAAGCCCGCCGGUCGUAAACCUGGGGCCCCGGAUGUAUGACCCCAGCCAUAAAGCUGGGGUCCUGGGUGUAUAACCCCAGCCAUAAAGGUGGGGCCCGCGGUGUAAAUCCUUCCGACAUAAAGUGGGGGUCCAGCAGUAAAGACCACUGCGGUCCGGUCUCCAGUCGCUUAUGCCUGAAGACAGCAACCCGAAUCGGAGCUGUAACCCGGCGGCCUAUGCUGAGCUCUGGAGUAGAGUAGGCCUGCCAGGCCUGGGCAUCUCACGCCCUGGUGCCUCAGACCUGAUGCCUGGCGUCAGAGGACUGCGGCCACCACAGCAGAAGGCCACUCCUCGGGCCUCCGUCUCUCGACCCAGAGGGCUCCCACUGGACGCCGGCCCUCAGGCGCCUCUGUGGCAGGACAGCCGGCGAAUGAUCUCAAAUGAAAAGGAGAAACUGCACUCAUGGAGGCAAAAUGGCCAACCACAUCACUGUGGCUAGCAUGGCAAGAGGACUGUUUUUAAAAAGUGUGAACUCAACAGUAAUGAAGAUUUUGGCCCUGGUUUUCAUGCACGUGUGUGAACAGGAAAUGGUCUUUGCAGAUGCAGAGGAGCCAAAGAUCUCUGCUGAUUCCUACCUUAUCCUCUGGAGCAUUCGUCUAAAUUCACAGCAGAUGUCUGCAUUAGAAAGCAACAUCUCUGAUUCUCUGUAUCUCUGAUGCACUUCUUUGAAGUCUGAGUGCUGUCUGGAGUCUGUCCUGUUUUCUGGGAAUCCUCAGCAUUGAGAAUAGUGCCCAGCAAGUGAAAGCUGUGCACUUGUCUUCAAUACAUGUGUAACACUAUGUGGGCUUUGCAUUGAGAGCAAAAAUGAAGUCCUGCUAGCUUUCAGAGAGCAAGUAGGCCAGCAUACAACAACUAGGGUGGAGGUGUGCAGAGUUCUUAACAAAACACUGGAAGCUGAAAGACAAUAGAAAAACACUUUCAAAAUCCUGAAGGAAAGUGUUCUUAAGCCUGGAAUCCUAUACCCAGCCCAACUGUUAAUUAAGAACAAGUUUAGAAUAAACAUACAUUCAGACUUCUAAAUUCUCAAUAUUUACCUCUCAAGAAUCCUUUCUCAAGAAGUACUGAAUAAUCUACUCCUUCAGACAGGAUCAUGGAUCAAAAGCAGGGGUCCUGAUGCAUCAGAGAGGGUGGGCUCCCAGGAUGUUUGUGACCAGGCAAGAGCGUGGUCUGUGUAUGUUGGGGCAAGUCAGAAGGCUCUAGUGGUGUUCUUCAGAAAGGCAAAACUGACAUGCUGCCUGAUGCAACUGAGGUGAUGGAGGAAAGAUUUAGACAAUGAGCAGAAUGUUCAGAGUUAAAUUUAUGGGAAGUACAGAUAGCUAAGCAACUGAAAGGGAGAUAAUUAUUUAAAACAGGGACAAUAAAAUAUACUGGAAAGGAAAAAAAUCAUUAUAGUAUACUGCUUGCCUCAGCUGUGAUUAAUGUUUACAUGAUGAUAGCAGAGGGCUUCUCUGGUGUCUAAGAUGGUAAAGAGUCUGCCUGCAAUGCAGGAGACCCAGAUUUGAUCCCUGGGUUGGGAAGAUCCUCCUGGAUAAGGGAAAAGCAACACACUCCAAUAUUAUUGCCUGGAGAAUUCCAAGGACAGAGGAGCCUGGCAGGCUACAGUCCAUGAGGUCGCAAAGAGUUGGAUAUGACUGAGUGACUAACAUUACUACACUAAUGAUAGCAGAAACAAAGAGUAUUGACAGAACCAAAAUCAGCUCUAUUGGGAGGAAUGGGGACAGUUAAGGUGCUUGUAGAUGGCUGAACACUGGGUUGAAAGAGAACUACACCCUGUUUUCCAGAAUGGCUAGUCCAUAGGUUUGCCUACAUCUGAGAAGUCAAAAAUAGCAAUAUAACCAUUUUAUUUAAGAAACAGAAACAAAUACACAAAAGAACCAGCCCCCCCCCCCCCCCGCCCAA
ensembl:lincRNA